GUAUUGUAUUGCGUUAAACGCGGUGCACAUUCCACAAGACUUUGUUACGGUGUGUGUGUAAAGACGCAGAACCACGGCAAGGGGACAGAGUCGCCCAGGCCACAGAACUACAGAGGGUGCACAGGUGUGAGUGGAUGUGUAGACAGAGCGUGCACAUGCCCCCAUCUGAGGACCAGCAACAACUCGUGUCGACAAUUCGGUAAUGAUCCUUCCGCAGGUUCACCUACGGAAA
rnacentral:misc_RNA from 1 species